CCCAUAAUUCUGAAUAGCUCUCCACUGCCUCAGCCCAAUUCAAACAUCUCAAAGAGUGACAAGCUGACCUGAAAGAUUUUAUAUAACGGAGUGAGCUAAAAACAGCUCACAAGUGACAAAGCAUAUUCAGAACAAAAGGAAUGAUUUCAAACAAGGUAUCAUAAUGCAAGGCAAAAUACCAGAAUUAUUAAGAUACCAUAUCAUUAGAUACAAAACCAUAUGUGUCAUGUCAUUCAAAACCUAUUUGGUUCAUAACAAAUGGAGCAUAGAGUAAUUGGAGCAUAUCAAUAGCGUAUGAAAUGUUCCGGAGCAUAUCAACAACAUAUGGAACAUUUCGAAGCAUAACAAUAGCAAAUGAAACAUUUCGGAGCAUAUCAAAGGUGUAUGAAAUGUUUCGGAGCUUAUCAAUAACAAAUGGGACAUUUUGAAACAUAUCAAUGGCAUAUGGACCAUUUCGGAGCAUAUCAAAGAAUGAAUACAAAAUAAAAGCUCAAACGUCGAAUUGACGUUGCAUUCAUUUCAUUCUUAUCCAAAGCAUGUAUAGAAACACAUAACCAAAGCUCUGGAUACCAUAUCAAACAUACAGAAGGUGAAUUGGGACCAUUACAGAAUAUGGUACAUCCAUUUCUGAAUGACCACCAAACAUAAGUCUCCCACGUUUGGGAGCUCCAUCCACCCACGUCUGAGUAAAGUCAUAAGGGCCGGUAGAGCAUCACAGGCUCUAUGCAUAACUCCCUUCACCAUUUCUGGCAAAGGUUCACAAUAUCCCACAAACACUAGAGUACAAAAGGAUAGUAUGAAUAAUGAAUAGCACAUAUCGGAAGCACACGCGGAAUAAUAAAACGUACAUGUGCCUUUACGAGUCAAUACAAAGUAAGCAAUAAUCUUUCACAAUUGUAUUCAAAUUUGAAAGGAAAUGAAAGCAAGAGCAUUCAAGGAUUCUAAGCAAUCACAUCUAACUCAAUUCAAAUAAGAAGGUCAGAUGAAUUCAAUUUCUAAAGGAAUGAAACUGGAAUAGGCACAUAUCGAAAGCAAAUGCGGAACAAUGGGAUAUACAUGUGCCUAUAUGAGUCAAUACGAUAUAGCAUAAACAUUACACAAUAGUUUUCAAGAAUGUAAAUAAUUUUAAGGACAAGACCAUACAAGAAUUCAAAGCAAUAAUAUAAAGCUCAAUUGAAUAAGAAAGCUAAAGGAUAUCAAUUUCCAAAUGAAUGAAACCAGAAUAUGCGAAAUCGACCAAAGCUCGAUUUCAGGUAGAAUUCAAGAGGCAUAUUGAACAAAUGAUUCAAACUAUCAAUUGUGCUCCAAUAUACUCAAGAAAGCUAUUGUGGAAAGAUAUUUCAAUCUAGUUUAUGAUGAAAUAAAUUUCAUACGAAUCAAGGUUUGCAAAAAAGAGUUACAAUUGAUUUAGUAACCAAUGGUCAGAAAACAAAAUCAUUGUUUUGCAUAAUCCAAAGGGUCGAAUUCAAUAGAUAACUGAGCAUACAUUUGAACUCUAAAUCUUUUAAUCCAGGUAUCAAAAGAAAGAUCUACGAGUCUAGUUUCCAAUAUAAUAAGAUUUGAAUAAAUCAAAGUUUUCAACAGGACUUAUAGGUAGUUCAGUAUCAAAAGGUCAGAAUCUCAGACGUUGCACAGAUUCGAAUCGUUAUGUCUAAACAAGAGAUAUAUCAAAUACAAUGCUAGAACAAUUAAAAGUUCCUCAUAUUCAAAGCAAAUGUAGAGAUCAAAUCACAAUAAGGAAAGAUCAUGACACUUGCAAUAGGAAAGAUUAGAAAGCUUGCAAUAGGAAGGAUCAGAACACUUGCAAGGGAAAAGAUUAGAAAGCUUACAAUAGAAAGGAACAGAAACACUUGCACGAGGAAGAUCAUAAUACUUGCAAUAAGAAAAAUUAGAACAAUUAUAAGAGAAACGAUCGGGAAACUUGCCUUUCAAUGAUUUUGAUAUGAAGAUCCAAAGAAGGUGUCAGCCCAAAUUCAUCUACUUUUCCUCCGUGUCCUCUCCCUGUUUCGUUUACUACAUGUCUUCUCUCUUUCCUCCACAACUGCAACUCAUGCAGAACAUAGAGGCAUAGUCAUCUGCUUUCUCUUACUCUCAUUCCUUCGUUUUCUUUUUCAAACGCAGCUGUCGCAGCUAUUGCCACUGCCACUACCACAAUCGUAGCCACGACCGCAGCUACCGCAGCCAACGUCGCAGCAGCAGCCGGAGUCGCAGCCACGGCCGCAGCCACCACACCCGCAGCCUCUUCUUCCUUCCCUGCUCUGUUUCCUCUCCUUCUGUUCUAGCUGCAGCUGCCACUGCCACAGCUGCCUCCCCUUCUCCUCUUCCUCUCUUCUUCCCUUUUCCUUUCUCUUCUUCUUCCUUUCCUUCUCUUCUUUCCCAGCUGCACUGCUGCAGUCGCAGNN
rnacentral:lncRNA from 1 species